UACGAAGGGGGCUAGCGUUGCUCGGAAUCACUGGGCGUAAAGCGCACGUAGGCGGAUUGUUAAGUCAGGGGUGAAAUCCUGGAGCUCAACUCCAGAACUGGCCUUUGAUACUGGCGAUCUUGAGUCCGGGAGAGGUGAGUGGAACUGCGAGUGUAGAGGUGAAAUUCGUAGAUAUUCGCAAGAACACCAGUGGCGAAGGCGGCUCACUGGCCCGGUACUGACGCUGAGGUGCGAAAGCGUGGGGAGCAAACAGGG
rnacentral:rRNA from 1 species